UAUGCGACCGGCGCACGGGUGAGUAACACGUAUCCAACCUGCCGAUGACUCGGGGAUAGCCUUUCGAAAGAAAGAUUAAUACCCGAUGGCAUAGUUCUUCCGCAUGGUAGAACUAUUAAAGAAUUUCGGUCAUCGAUGGGGAUGCGUUCCAUUAGGUUGUUGGCGGGGUAACGGCCCACCAAGCCUUCGAUGGAUAGGGGUUCUGAGAGGAAGGUCCCCCACAUUGGAACUGAGACACGGUCCAA
rnacentral:rRNA from 1 species